rnacentral:lncRNA from 1 species
UGGAAGCGAUUGGGAUUGAAAAAGGGAAGUCGUGCUCUGGUCUUAUAAAUGACAACCCCCACCUACUGGUCUGCCGGAAUCCUGGAAAUGGUGUGCUGUACGUGGCUUAUAAUAAGGGUGAGAUGCGGGCUGGGAUAUCUAUUCAUAGGGUCUGCAGUUGUGGAUGCAUCUUCCCUGGGCCUGCCAUGCUUUGAAUCGUCCUGGCAUGAUUGGCAUGUUGCAUCUCGUGUAUGUAUCUCCUGUGUUUGUUGAUGUUGAAGGUGCUUGGUCUCUUGUAAUGUGUGGUUUUGCUUUUAGGUGUGUGAUGGUGUGUGCUGCAUCCCG